CUUUGGGAUAAUGGGUGCCCCCAUCAGGUGGCCACAGAUAAUAGUCCCAAUCGACUGUUUACCUAAAACAUAGGUUUCUGCUAAGCCGCAAGACGAAGUAUUGUAUCCGACGCCUGCCCCGUUCUUGAAGGUCAACGGGCUCUGCUAGAGCAAUCGAAGCAGUGAACUUAAGCACCAGUAAACGGCGGCCGUAACUAUAACGGUACUAAGGUAGCGCAAUUACUUGGCGGGCAAGUAACGACCAGCACGAAAGGCGUAACGAUUUGGGCACUGUCACAACAACAGACACGGUGAAAUCGUAAUUCAGGUGAAGAUGCCGGAUACCUACGUAAAGAAAGAAAGACCCAAGGAGGGUUUAAUGUAGUCUGAUAUUAGGUCUUGGUCAUACCUGUACAGGAUGAGUGGGAGGCUGGGAAACCCGGACGUCAGGUGUGGCGGAGCACACGAGUGACUACCA
rnacentral:rRNA from 1 species